rnacentral:rRNA from 1 species
UACGGGGGGGGCAAGCGUUGUUCGGAAUUACUGGGCGUAAAGGGCUCGUAGGCGGCCAACUAAGUCCGACGUGAAAUCCCCAGGCUUAACCUGGGAACUGCGUCGGAUACUGGAUGGCUUGAAUUCGGGAGAGGGAUGCAGAAUUCCAGGUGUAGCGGUGAAAUGCGUAGAUAUCUGGAGGAAUACCGGUGGCGAAGGCGGCAUCCUGGACCGACAUUGAGCGCUGAGGAGCGAAAGCUAGGGGAGCAAACGGG